CCCUCUAUCGUCCUGUGCCAUAAGGGUCUCUUAUGCGCCAUUCAGGCGGUCAAUUCUCCCAUAGGUGUGGGGUUGCUAGGUUUGUGGUAGCUCGCCCUGUCGGAGCAGCAGGUGGUGUCUUUGUACUGGUGAGUCGCCUUUGCGCGGCUUGUUGUUAUGGCUUGCUAGAGUGCGGGUGAAUGGUCGGGUUGCCUGAGGAAGGCCAGUGCAGCCUCAAGGUCCCCCCAUGUGCAUAUGGGGAAAUGCCCACAGUCAAUGUUCUAC